UCGUCAUCAACGUCCAUGUUUGGUUGUGUAUGGAAGCGACUACAGUUUGCCUCAUGUGUGGACGGGAUGGCAUGUUGUAACAAGGUUUGAGUACACGCAGCAAAUACUUGAAGCCAGGUUCGUCCACAAAUGAAUAUGGGCACACUGAAGAUGACAUGUAAAUUGUGAUUGCUUCAGUGAUUUUUGGACCCUAUUUGUAUCUAAAGGCUGGUUAAGCACUGAAGUUUUUUGUCUCGUUCAAGUGAUUGGCACAUCAGGGUGAUGGUGUCGGAUAUGAGUUAGCCUGUUAGAUAUAUUUCCACUCACAUACCCGACAACUGCUGAAUAACGCUGACACACAGUCCUCGUCUUAUCCACCACUCUCUCGCCUAUAGCCUACUACUAGAACUG